rnacentral:tRNA from 1 species
GUCCGCGUAGCUCAGAGGAUAGAGCGCUUGACUUCUAAUCACGCACUGAGUCAGACAUCAAGCGGCCGCGGGUUCGAUCCCCGUCGUGGACA